rnacentral:rRNA from 1 species
AGUAGUUUGAUCAUGGCUCAGGACGAACGCUGGCGGCGUGCUUAACACAUGCAAGUCGAACGGUAAGGCCCUUCGGGGUACACGAGUGGCGAACGGGUGAGUAACACGUGGGUGAUCUGCCCUGCACUUCGGGAUAAGCCUGGGAAACUGGGUCUAAUACCGGAUAGGACCAUGGACUUCACGGUUUGUGGUGGAAAGCUUUUGCGGUGUGGGAUGGGCCCGCGGCCUAUCAGCUUGUUGGUGGGGUAAUGGCCUACCAAGGCGACGACGGGUAGCCGGCCUGAGAGGGUGUCCGGCCACACUGGGACUGAGAUACGGCCCAGACUCCUACGGGAGGCAGCAGUGGGGAAUAUUGCACAAUGGGCGCAAGCCUGAUGCAGCGACGCCGCGUGAGGGAUGACGGCCUUCGGGUUGUAAACCUCUUUCAAUAGGGACGAAGCGCAAGUGACGGUACCUAUAGAAGAAGCACCGGCCAACUACGUG